CUAGCUAAUAAUACAGACAACUCGGGGUAGCCUGAAUCUAAUAAACUCUGGCAGAGUAUUUAACCAAUAUAUUGUAGUUGGACUAAGGGAGACUGUAAAUCCUUUAGUCUGAGGCUCAAUGCAAUCAUGCUUACUGUGGUUCUGUGAAUUUGCCUGCUGCCCUGGGAGAGUGAUAAUCAGUAUUGCCCAGACCUAUCCAUCUAACAUUAAAUCCACCUAUUUGACCAGUCAUGCUAAGGCCAUAUCAGUCACUGGAAACUGUAUUCUUAGACUGUGUUAUUUCAUUUGCUCUUUUAAAAAAUCAGCAUUUUCUAUUAUGCUAAAUAUCCCAUUGGCUCCACAAAGCAAUGUUUUAUUUCAGGUGGAGGAAAUAUGUCCACCCAGCUCUAGAGGGCAUUCUAAUUAUUUUUUUCCUUUAAAUUUUAGGGGGGGGGGGAAGUCUAUUGUUUUAUUAUAACCAAUUAUUCAGCCCCCUCUUGUAGGAGAAUCAUAAAUCUCUUAUGUGUUGCCAUGUGAACUUCAGGGACUUCCCUUGGAGGAACGACUUCCCUGGCUCAGUGAUACCACUCUGCCUGUGUGACUUGCUUUCAUCAGUGGAAUGUGAGCGAAGUAACACAUACCAUGUCUGAAGUUUUGAGUCAUGUACGAUUCAACUGUCUUCAUUUUCUUCUGCAAUGAGAAAGAUAUGUAGCAAGGAAAGGCUGCUUCUUCUCCUUAGGUUCUGGGAUGAAGAAUGUAUGUGGAGCAGGGUCACAGUUAAUGUGCAUCUACCACAACCUAAAUAUAAAAUAAACAGGAAAUAAACAUUUACAAACUUUUGUUGCUGGAUUUCAGAAGCUGUUGGUUAUUGCAGCAUAAUGUGGUAAAUACUAUCUUAUAUAUCUGUAAGGAUUCUGAACAUAGUGGGAAAAAAAAUCAUCUCAGGAACUUACAAUAGCCCAAAUCCUCCCCAAGCCAAAUUUCUUUUUCUUUUUAUUACAAACAUACAAGACAUUUCAUGGAGCUUGCUCCUUUAAAAUCUAGUAUUUAUGACACACAAACUGAGACUUUAUUUUUAUAUAUACCUUUUCUGUGUCGUAUUUCAUGCCAGGUGCUUAUAAAUAUAUUCCAAGUCUUCAAAAUAAGAGUAUAAUGAGAAAUUAUCCUUGGACUCUGAGAAGGAAAUCGGGGCUCAGAGGUUCACAUUAUAUAGGCCACAAAGACACAGUAUUUCAACCAAUGCCAUAGCCCCUAUCCAUGCACAUUUUUAAAAAUCACUUCUUAAUCAUCCUUCAAAUUAAAUGAUGUUUUUGAAAAAGCAGUUAGAAUCGGUUAGAGAGAGAUGUGAUUCAACAGAGAAGACGUAGUUACUCAACCAAAGUCCUCCCAUGUCUUCCCCAGAGCUCCACUUGAGGGAUAAAUUGAUCCUUAAUGGUUUUUCUGGGACAGCCUCCUGGUAGUGUACUACUCUUCUCUACUUACCUUAGACAUUGAAUAUUUUCUAUGUUCCAGUGUAACUAUGCAGAUUUUAAGAACAUGAAUUAGAUAACUACAGACAAAAAUUUUAGCAGGAUGGGAUUUCCAUUUAAUAUUUUCAUUUCUGUUGCUUCUACUAACAAAAGUACUCAUAUUUUUUGGUAGAUAAAUUGAAAAAUGCAUAAAACCUUUAAAAAUAAAAUGAAAACAUGCCAUGAUCCAUUUUUCCAAAUGUCACUUAUAUAUCAACUAAAAACUGACAUACACUUGGGGCGCCUGGGUGACUCAGUCAGUUGAGCAUCCGACCCUUAAUUUCAGCUCAGGUUAUGAUCCCAGGAUUGUGGGAUUGAGCCCUGCAUCAGGCUCUGUGCUGAGCAUGGAGCCUGCUUAGAUUGAUAUUCUCUAUCUCUAUCUCUCCCCUCACCCCUCUCCCCCACUCGUGCUCUCUCUCCCUAAAAUAAAACAUAAAAAAACCUUUUUGACAUACACCUAACAGUGAUGCUACAGGUUUAAAUUGACAGAUUCAUUUACUAAGUCAUUUAUUUAGCAGCUGCUAUGUACUUGACUGAGCCUUUGGAUAUAGUGAACCCCAUAGAUAAGGAUCUACCCUUAUAUCACUUACAUUCUAUAUGGAAGACAGACAGUGAACUGUUUUUUUUUUAAAAAAGGACAAUCAAAACUGUUAAAUACUGGGAUAUAGGCUAUAAAGAAAGUCAUCAAGGCUAAGAAGAUGGAGAUGCCUACUUUGGGUAAAGUGGACAGUUGGAGAAGUAAUAAUUAAGUUGUAACUUAAAGGAUGAAGGUAAGCCAGCCAGGCAAAGAACUAGGAAAAAAUUACCUUAGAGAGAAGAGUGAGGAAAAAGUGUGGAGCCAGGAAAGGACAGGAUCAGAAAGAAGGCCAGUGUGCUGAAUGAACAAGGGUGAGAUUGAUCAGAGGUGGUGAAGAGAUGGAGGAGAAAGUAGAAUCUGUCUCAGGUAGAACCUUGAAGAAUUCAAUUAGAAGUGUGGAUUAUUUUUCAGAGAAAAGGACAGCCAUCAUAGUGAUUUCAUGACUAAUGAUUUAGCAAGCUCACUUCAGAUUUUGUACAGCAAAAUGCACUGAGAGAAGGGAGAUGUAGACACUUCUAAUUUGCCUAACAUACUGUCAGUAUUGAUGACACAAUUUCUAUACACCUCAGAAACAGUGAAAACAACUCAUUUUCCAAUGACUUAGCUAACAGGAAAGACAGAGAAGGAGAGAUUUCAAUAAGGGAGUUAUUAAAGGAAUCCAGUUAAUAGGAGAGAGUAGCUUGGAGCACAAGGAGAGAGUCAAGCAGAUCUGAGAUCAGUUGUGGAAGCACAAUGCACAGAAUUUAGUGAUGGACUGGAUAUGGAGUACAAUAAAAGAAAACUCAAGAAUGGUUAGCAGUUUUCUAGCUGUAGGUGUGAAACUAUUUUUCUCAGAUGGAUAAAACCUGGGCAAACAAAGCAAUGGGAGAAGAGAAUCACAAUUUCCAUUCUGGGCGCUGAAGGUGUUCAAGGGACAGAUACGUAGAGAUAUGAACUGUGAGAUCCAAAAGUGUUCCCUCUAUCACGGCCGUGAGACAACAUGCCUUGAAUAACCUGCUGGAAGUUGGGACAGGAGGGACAGAGACAUGUUACCCAGUUGUCCUAAAUGAGACCAUUUUAAAUCAGCCAAAAGCUAACUGACCUCCAGAAAUGUAAAUGGGCCCAUCUGAGCCUAGCCUCAAUAAAUUUUACUGUUUUGAGUCA